rnacentral:rRNA from 1 species
GACGAACGCUGGCGGCGUGCCUAAUACAUGCAAGUUGAGCGCUGAAGGUUGGUACUUGUACCAACUGGAUGAGCAGCGAACGGGUGAGUAACGCGUGGGGAAUCUGCCUUUGAGCGGGGGACAACAUUUGGAAACGAAUGCUAAUACCGCAUAAAAACUUUAAACACAAGUUUUAAGUUUGAAAGAUGCAAUUACAUCACUCAAAGAUGAUCCCGCGUUGUAUUAGCUAGUUGGUGAGGUAAAGGCUCACCAAGGCGAUGAUACAUAGCCGACCUGAGAGGGUGAUCGGCCACAUUGGGACUGAGACACGGCCCAAACUCCUACGGGAGGCAGCAGUAGGGAAUCUUCGGCAAUGGACGAAAGUCUGACCGAGCAACGCCGCGUGAGUGAAGAAGGUUGUCGGAUCGUAAAACUCUGUUGGUAGAGAAGAAUGUUGGUGAGAGUGGAAAGCUCAUCAAGUGACGGUAACUACCCAGAAAGGGACGGCUAACUACGUG